UUGAUAGUUUAUUAAAUCAAAACAGGUGCUGCAUGGCUGUCGUCAGCCCGUGCUGUGAAGUGUUGGUUCAUUCCAAUCAACGGGCGCAACUCUUAUAACUUAUUAUUUUAAAUUGAUAAGUUACGCUGUUAACGAUAUGAUAAAGGAAGGUGACAAUGACGUCUAAGUCCUCACUGGCCCUUAUGAAUUGGGCUGUAUAC
rnacentral:rRNA from 1 species